UACACAGUUUGGUGAUAUGAUCCGGAAAAAGCGGGAAUCCAGGUAUAGCUACAUGUGGUAGUGGCGUUAACUAACUGUCAACUGUGGACGACGAGUGUGGGAUCCUUGUUGCCUUUGUAAGAAAAAAUAAAAGGGAAGAAGAAAAAGGCAACAGUGACAAAAACAUAUGGGUGUGAACACAAAAUAUUCGCAUGUAAAGGGAGUGGGCUUACGACUGGGCACUUUAUGCGCUGAUCUGAAAGAAAGAAAAGAACUCUUGGACAGGAUCGCUAGGCAUCUUUCUUGUAAGGGCUCACAGGUGACCAUCCGUCCUUUAGGCUUCAAAAUGUAUCUGAGGAUCUGAACUUGCCUGCAGCAAUCUAAAUUAAUAAGAACAAUUUGGCGUGAGGUUGUUACCCUUACUUUUCCUAAAUUCUUCUUUUAACAUAAUUGUUAGUGUGAGAUACUUAAUCAACAGACUUCAAAAAAAAAAAAAAA